rnacentral:tRNA from 1 species
GCAGCCGUGGCCUACUGGUUAGGGCUUUGGGCUUGUAACCGAAGGGUUGCUGGUUUGCGUCCGGUUCGAUCCC